AAAGUCCCUGCUAGUUUAGUGUGCGUUGAUUCUGGAUUCAGAAUUUUAUUUUUAUACAAAUGUAGACACUUCAACUGUUUUUGUCUAUAAGAUUCCCUAUUAAGACAUUUUACCUCGAAAAUCAAAACCUUUGAAGUCAGGCCCAAAAUGUAUAUUUCUUUCAAAACAUUUUCUUUAAAAAUGAGAAUAUGCAAGUUUUGAGUAUGUGCUGCUUAAAUGCUAAUAGUAGGCUAAAUGUUCAAAAUAUAUUGGCUAUUGGCGUGGACACAAUAAAGCUUUUAAAAACC
rnacentral:lncRNA from 1 species